rnacentral:rRNA from 1 species
AUACGUAGGUGACAAGCGUUAUCCGGAUUUACUGGGCGUAAAGGGCGUGUAGGCGGUCUUGCAAGUCAGAAGUGAAAUUCCUGAGCUCAACUCGGGCGCUGCUUCUGAAACUGCAGGACUUGAGUGCUGGAGGGGAUAGCGGAAUUCCUAGUGGAGCGGUAAAAUGCGCAGAUAUUAGGAAGAACACCGGUGGCGAAGGCGGCUAUCAGGAAAGAAAGUGGCGCUUGGGCGAGAAAGUCUGGACUGCAAAAAGGAUGUGAGACUGGGAUAUCCCAAGCUGUAAACGAUGAAUACUAGGUGUAGGGGGUAUCGACUCCCUCUGUGCCGCAGUUAACACAAUAAGUGAUCCGCCUGGGGAGUACGGCCGCACGGUUGAAACUCAAAUGAAUUGACGGGG